rnacentral:rRNA from 1 species
GAUGAACGCUGGCGGCGUGCCUAAUACAUGCAAGUCGAGCGAACAGACGAGGAGCUUGCUCCUCUGACGUUAGCGGCGGACGGGUGAGUAACACGUGGAUAACCUACCUAUAAGACUGGGAUAACUUCGGGAAACCGGAGCUAAUACCGGACAAUAUAUUGAACCGCAUGGUUCAAUAGUGAAAGACGGUUUUGCUGUCACUUAUAGAUGGAUCCGCGCCGCAUUAGCUAGUUGGUAAGGUAACGGCUUACCAAGGCAACGAUGCGUAGCCGACCUGAGAGGGUGAUCGGCCACACUGGAACUGAGGCACGGUCCAGACUCCUACGGGAGGCAGCAGUAGGGAAUCUUCCGCAAUGGGCGAAAGCCUGACGGAGCAACGCCGCGUGAGUGAUGAAGGUCUUCGGAUCGUAAAACUCUGUUAUUAGGGAAGAACAAAUGUGUAAGUAACUAUGCACGUCUUGACGGUACCUAAUCAGAAAGCCACGGCUAACUACGUG